rnacentral:rRNA from 1 species
GAUGAACGCUGGCGGCGUGCCUAAUACAUGCAAGUCGAGCGAACAGACGAGGAGCUUGCUCCUCUGACGUUAGCGGCGGACGGGUGAGUAACAAGUGGAUAACCUACCUAUAAGACUGGGAUAACUUCGGGAAACCGGAGCUAAUACCGGAUAAUAUAUUGAACCGCAUGGUUCAAUAGUGAAAGACGGUUUUGCUGUCACUUAUAGAUGGAUCCGCGGCGCAUUAGCUAGUUGGUAAGGUAACGGCUUACCAAGGCAACGAUGCGUAGCCGACCUGAGAGGGUGAUCGGCCACACUGGAACUGAGACACGGUCCAGACUCCUACGGGAGGCAGCAGUAGGGAAUCUUCCGCAAUGGGCGAAAGCCUGACGGAGCAACGCCGCGUGAGUGAUGAAGGUCUUCGGAUCGUAAAACUCUGUUAUUAGGGAAGAACAAAUGUGUAAGUAACUAUGCACGUCUUGACGGUACCUAAUCAGAAAGCCACGGCUAACUACGUG